UUUCACCCAGUCAGGAAUCUAGUCCACAACACCCAUGCCAGCUGGGGGGCUGGACUCUGCUAGGACACGUUCAGUGAUGUGAAAAUCGCUCUUUUUUAAAGGUUGUCCACACCGAGCCUCCAGCAAUUUGUCAAUUACAGUUCCGAUUUCCCUCUCCCAGCACUGGUUCUCAUACAGGCUUCAGCUCACAGGUUUCUGCUCUGGCAAGAGGCACGUCUGGGCACACAGAAGCUUGUUUGGAGGUUGUGAGCAUCAGUGAACAGUUGGCACAUGCUGGUACUUACUAAGGUACUUAAUUCCUUGAAAGAAGAAUAAGACUUUGCCUUCUUUGAAUUCUUAAAACCUAGCACAGAACCUGGAAAUCUGGAGAAUGAAGAAAACAACACGGGAACAAACAAACUUUGAUAUUCAAAGUCAUUACUAACAACGUAUUGCCAAAAACAAGUCUGGCUCCAGGGAGAAGGUGAGGCCCUCUGAUACGGUUCUGAUCAAUGAAAUAUAAGGAGAAACCUGCUGAUACCACCCCCUCUUCCAUCUUCUUCCUGCCUGGUGAAUGGGGAAAUGAAGCAGUACUUGGAACCAGGAAGACAAAAGCUACGUGCUGAGGAUGGCAAGUUAGGAAGACAGAAGGAGCCUGAUUUCUUGAUGCAUCUGGAUCAGCCUUACAAACCCUAAAUUUCCUAUGCCCAGACUUCUUAGUGCAUAACAUAAACUCCUGUGUGUUUAAGUUACUAUUCAUCAGGUCAUCUGUUUCAGAUAGCAGAAUCCUAUCCUUUCUGAUGGAGAACACAAAUGACUGGUGAUUACUUUCUGCCUUUUUUCUAAAAACUCCAUAGCUCGUUUACUCCAUGGGUUCAAACUCUGUAUCUGAGCAUUGACAGAAGAGUGCCGUGUACAAAGAAAUCAGACCUAAUUCAUCUCGUCUUUUGAAAAAUGCAAUGUAUUCUUAACAUACAGGAAUUAAUGCCCCGAAGACCUUAUUCAAUUCUCAAAUUCACAAAUACCACUUGUAUUAGUCAGAAUCUACUCAGGAAAACAAAAACUACCCUACGUACUUAUCAGAAGGAAUUUAACAAAGGGGAUUUAAUAUGGGGAAAGAAGGGGCAACACUGAGAUUACCGGGAGAUAACAACAGCAGGGAGCAGUUGCUACUCCUAAAGCUGGAGGGGCAAACGAGAGGAGGCAGAUGUAAGGAGUACUUAAGAGCCCAGAGGGGGAGCCUCAAAGAGUUGGUGGUCAGAUCUUGAAAAGGAGACACUUCCUCGGAAGUGAACACAUUUAGGGUCGCAGAGGAGCCUAAUGGAGUUCGGGCACAGACCUCUGAAGAGGCGGCAUUGCCCGACUGCUCUGGUACGUUUAAGGGGAGGUGAUGAGGCUUGUUCCAGGAGUGCUGAAAGACACCGCGCCUCCUGCUGCAGCCAGGGUAACCUGCACAGGCUAAAGAGUUGCUGCUGCUCGGGUGAUGCUGACAGGGCCAAGAGCACCCAGGAAAAAGAAAGUGUCUUCUCCCCUCCUUCUCCCUUCCACUCUCUUUCUUCUACUUCUUAUUGGCCAAACCUAACAGGAAGCAGCUGGAAAGAGUCUGGUAAAUGUAGUUCACAAUGUUCCAGCCCCAGCAUCACAUCCCAGAACAUGGCGUAAUGGCGGUAGAUUAGGAACUGUGACAAUAUACGCAUAGAACUAGCGCAACCGAAAAUGCAAUAAAGAAUAACUGAAGCAUUAAAGUGAUCCCAUAGUGGUGGUAUUAGAACAAAGGUUACUUCUGUAAUUAUCCAGCAAUUCUUCCAUAAAACCAAAAUUCUACUUUUCAGGUUAAAAAUGGUCAUUAGGGCUUCCCUGGUGGCACAGGGGUUGAGAGUCUGCCUGCCGAUGCAGGGGGCACGGGUUCGUGCCCCGGUCCGGGAA